GACUGACCCAUGCGUGCUGCAUCUGAAACUCCACUAUUGAGGCGAGCAGCAGCAGGGUGAGAACGCCAAAAGUGCACACAGAUUGCCCGAAUUUUCUGAAGCAGCUCUGAUAUAUCUGGGUAUACACCAUGGCAUCACAAGGGCCACCCAGGUCUGGCUCAACUCCCAUCAAGCCAAGUUCCCAGAGGAUAUCACCCAGCUCGUCAUGUUAGAGCACUUUUUCAAUGUGCUCCCCAACGAGAAGGCGACAACGCAUUCGUAUGUCAAUCCAUAUCAACUUUCGAUGCCAUUGACUGCGCCUACCAUGGUGACCACGGGUAAUGGGGAAUCAGGGUUCGAUUCCGUACAGGAACCCUGACAAACGGCUACCACAUGCAAGGAAGGCAGCAGGCACGCAAAUGACCCACUCCUGGCGAGGGAAGGUAG